GGCCGCCUGGCGUAAUGGCAACGCGUCUGACUACGAGGGUAGCACCCAAAAUGCUCGGUAAUCAGGAGAUUGCAGGUUCGACCCCUGCGGUGGUCA
rnacentral:tRNA from 1 species